CUCCUGCCUUUUCUGGUUCUACAUUGAGACCUGGACUGUGCUGUUAAUUUCUCAGCUCUGAAAGCAGGCAGUGCUCAGAAAAAUAGACUACCGACCAGCCCCUCCAUUCUCCUUACUCCUGCGCUUUUUUUCUAUGAUUUUGAGCCUUUUCUCCUCCCGUAAGCGGGCCUCCUCCUCUUCUUGGUCCUGCCGACACUUGUGGAAAUUCUCCACCACAACGCCGACGAACAUGUUGAGCACAAAAAAGCUGACGAUGAGCAGAAAGGAGAUGAAGUACAGCAGCAUCCACGGGUUGUGGUUCCUCACAGGCUGAAAAGCAGAGAGAGAGAGAGAGAGAAAAGAGUGAGAGAGUUCUGUGUCAUACACCAGCUUAAACAUUGAUGAGGACAACAAUACCUGUUGGUCCACUCCCACCGCGUCCAGGCCGUCAUACAUAAUAUUGACCCAGCCGUCCUUACAUGACAGCACAAACAAAGACAUCAGAGCCUGGAUAAGAAAAAGAGAAACGGAAGAUCAUUACACAGCAGCUUUGUUUGUCUUUCAUAUCUGCUUUAAUAUUUAUUGGAUAACACAGUUUGUCUUUCUGGAACCAAUUACAGUGUUCUAAAGAGAAAUGACAGGCCUUACAUAAUUACUUCUUAAAAUCUCCAUACCUGAAUCAGAUUGUCAAAGUUGUACUUCCUUCGUAUCCAGCCAUAGUUGGCUUGCAGACAGUCCGACUUGUUGGUAAUGUUUUUGGUGUUAAGACCUUCACAGUGGUAGAAUUUCCCUUUGAAUAACUAAAGAGCAAGAAGAAACAAGACAUACCAUAUUUUUUAAUCAUGAGCCAUUUUACACCAGUUAUUGAUCCAUUUGAUAGUUAAUUUAAACAAGUAAAAUAUGUUCCACUUUUUUAC